rnacentral:lncRNA from 1 species
GGGGAUGGAAUAAUAAAAGCAAUAAUGCAGACAAUAAAACUGGAAAUGCAUUAUGCAUGCACUCUGUGACAGACCCUCUACUCAGUGCUUUACAAGCAUUUUCCAUUUAAUCCUCACCACAACCAUGUGGGGCAGACAGAGUCGAAGAAAAAUUAUUCUGACCCCUGAUAAAAGGUAAAGCAGAUCAUUCAGGACCACUGCAAUGGGGUUUUGCAGUAGGGGUGGGAGACUGGACUCAACCGCAAACACAACAAUGAAAAAUAGGAAUUUAUAGCCAAGAAGCAGAGUAGAGGGCAGAGGAUAGAAAAACACUGAGAGGAUACAUCAAGGCAAAGGGGGAUUCUGACUAAGGGGUCAGCCAGGGUGAUUGGAUAUUGCCUGGAAUGGGGUAAACAGAGAAUGGGGGUGCGAAAUUUACAGACAUGGAGAGCAAGGAUUCUUUAGCAGGAUUCUUGCCAAUACUGGACUCUAUAAGGGCAGAGCUCAAAGUCUCAGUUCAGCUCAAGUUGAAUAGCAGGCUCAGGGGAACCUGUCUACAGUCUAGUCAAGGGGAGAAUCUUUGUCCACUACAAGAAUUAACCUUGUUGUACAAAUGAAUCCAGGUCUAGGGAGAGUAAGUGACUUGCCAGUUUACACCAUAGUCAGUGGCAAAUUGGACAUUCGAGUCCAGAUCUGCCUAAUUUGGGACCAGGAUCACACAAUCCACCAUGGCAACAAGUAUUAAGAAUCCCUACUGUAUUCCAUGCUGGAAGUAGAGAAGGAACUUUUUAAAAAAUAUUUAAUUUUUAGUUGGACACAAUAUCUUUACUUAUUUAUUUUUAUGUGGUGCUGAGGCUCGAACCCAGGGCCUCGCAUGUGCUAGGUAAGCGCUCUACUGCUGAUCCACAACCCCAGCUCCCCACCCCAGAAGGAACUUUUGGAAAUAAUGGGGCUAAAUGGGUUUUCCUACCCUAGAUGAUCAUUUUAAACAAUGAGAGCAUAAAAAGCAAGAUGAGAGCUCAGAUCCAUGAAGGAUUUCUAGCUACAAAAGUACAGAACUGAAUCCUUCUUUCAGCUUACAAAGAGUUGGGAAUUAGAACAUCAGAACUUUUGUCUUCUUAAACUUUCAGAAGUCAACUUAGUUUCAUGCAUGUGAUAAAACGAUUCCAAAAUCAUUUGACUCCUGAACAGUUUGAUGGAUGCUAUUUUAACUUUCAAGAUUCUUGGAAUGAGAGAGAGAGAGAGAGAGUUCUGCUUCAGGUCAUUUACCAACAUUUGGAGCUGAUAUUCAGAGCCACAGGGAUUUCAAGGAUUUGAGAACAGUAUGUUUUAUUAUAUAAUUUUCCUUAUAUGAAAAAUCCACUUGUUAAAAGUCUAAAUGGCAGAAUAAACUUAAUUUGUCAAAUCAAAAGAUGCGAAACUUGUCUGUUUCAACUGAGAAUUUCACAUAAAUGUCCGCCGUGGGUCUCAAACAAUUGCUGCCUGUCUAUGACCUCAUUUUCUAGAAGAUCAAUCUUUCAUUUUCAUCUUU